UACGAGGGGGGCAAAUGGUUGUUCGGAAUCACUGGGCGUAAAGGGAGCGUAGGCGGGUGUUUAAGUUAGGUGUUUAAUCCUGGGGCCCAACCCCAGUCGUGCACCUAAAACUGGACAUCUUGAAUAGUGGAGAGGUCGAGUGGAAUUGGGGGUGUAGCGGUGGAAUGCGUAGAGAUCCCCAAGAACACCAGUUGCGAAGGCGGCUGACUGGACACAUAUUGACGCUGGAGGCUCGAAAGCAUGGGGGAGCAAACAGG
rnacentral:rRNA from 1 species